rnacentral:rRNA from 1 species
UAGGGAAUCUUCCGCAAUUGACGCAAGUCUGACGGAGCAACGCCGCGUGAGUGAAGAAGGAUUUCGGUUCGUAAAACUCUGUUGUUAGAGAAGAACAGCGCAUAGAGUAACUGUUAUGCGUGUGACGGUAUCUAACCAGAAAGCCACGGCUAACUACGUGCCAGCAGCCGCGGUAAUACGUAGGUGGCAAGCGUUGUCCGGAUUUAUUGGGCGUAAAGCGAGCGCAGGCGGUCAAUUAAGUCUGAUGUGAAAGCCCCCGGCUCAACCGGGGAGGGUCAUUGGAAACUGGUUGACUUGAGUGCAGAAGAGGAGAGUGGAAUUCCAUGUGUAGCGGUGAAAUGCGUAGAUAUAUGGAGGAACACCAGUGGCGAAGGCAACUCUCUGGUCUGUAACUGACGCUGAGGCUCGAAAGCGUGGGUAGCAAACAGG